UACGUAGGGUACUAGCGUUGUCCGGAUUUAUUGGGCGUAAAGGGGUUGCAGGUGGUUUUUCGCGUCUGUCGUGAAAUCCUGUGGCUUAACCAUGGGCUUGCGGUGGGUACUGGAAGGCUUGAGUGCGGUAGGGGAGGCUGGAAUUCCUGGUGUAGCGGUGGAAUGCGUAGAUAUCAGGAGGAACACCGGUGGCGAAGGCGGGUCUCUGGGCCGUUACUGACACUGAGGAGCGAAAGCGUGGGGAGCGAACGGG
rnacentral:rRNA from 1 species